UACGUAGGGGGCAAGCGUUGUCCGGAAUCAUUGGGCGUAAAGAGCGUGUAGGCGGCCCGAUAAGUCCGCCGUGAAAGUCCAGGGCUCAACCCUGGAAUGCCGGUGGAAACUGUCGGGCUGGAGUCCGGAAGAGGCGAGUGGAAUUCCUGGUGUAGCGGUGGAAUGCGCAGAUAUCAGGAAGAACACCAACGGCGAAGGCAGCUCGCUGGGACGGUACUGACGCUGAGACGCGAAAGCGUGGGGAGCGAACAGG
rnacentral:rRNA from 1 species